UGAGCAAUGUGCUCGAUAGUUGAGUGAAACUUUUGGUAAGAUAGAAUGGAGUAAGUGAAAUUAUGUAAAAAUGAAAUUUUGUAAUAAAAUAGUUUUGGACAGCAGCAAUUGUGUGACUUUGAAAAAUCACCAAAAAUGGUAGAAAUUAAAUUAGAGGUUGAAUAAGAUAUGAAAUUAAAUCUUAAUGAGUUUAUUUUCUUAUAAAAGAAACGGUGAAGGCAAAAGAAUUUCAUAUUAUGUGAUAAUUGGAUUUUUGUGAGACAAGGUCAGAAUGAUUUUGGAAUCUCCUG
rnacentral:lncRNA from 1 species